AAUAGAAGAGAGGAAAAAUGAAAGAAAGAAAAAGAGAAAGAACGAGUUGAAAGAACUCGAUGUAAUUGUGAAAUUGCAAUUGCAUUGAAAGUCGAAAUUGCAUUAAAGAAAGUGAAAUUGCAUUGAAAUGGGUUUGUAUUGAAAAUUGACCCCAAUAAUGCACUUUUGCAGGAUAGAAGCCCUGACAUGAAAUUGACCGCGUACAAACCUAAUUGGGGGUAAAAGAAACGCGCUGGCGAAGUCGGUUCGGCAAUCCGUCGCUCCUACGCGAAGAUAUCGCCAAAAGAAUAUUUUCGGCAUCGAUAGUCGCGAGCGCGGGUCGCGGUUCUCGGAAAAGUGCGAGAAGUGGAUUUCUCUCAUUCCAGUGCCAAAGAAAGGUUACACGUGAGCGGCGCAGCGGCGCGAGGACAGGGCGUAGCUCCGUAGAUAGCGCCCUACCACCGAGACCAGUGAUAGAAGUACCCUGAAGAGGUCCAGCUCAGAGUUCCAAUUGGAAAGAAACAAAUUUGUAGUAAUUUGUAUAAGUUUUGUAAUAACUUAAAGGCACAUUUGGUUAUGUAAAUGUAAACUAUUGUAAAUGUCUAAAGAAUCUGUGAGUUGAAUGCUUGUAAUAGCAUAGUUAGCAUUUUAUGUUUUUGAUA